GUGAGAGGUGGGUGUUCGCGUCGAGGAGGCAUGAUAAUCUAUAAGAGGAAACAAAGCGAGUUAAGGCAACCUUAGGCUCUAUAUGUUGAUACAUGUAUUCUAUUCAACCUAACCUAACUUAACUCGGGGCCACACUGGCACUGUAAAUUUUUAAAAUAACUUUAAAACCAAAAACUCUUAUCUUUAAAAUCAAAAGCUUUGAUACCAAUAGAAUUGUCACGACUUGGAACUCCCAUCGAGCCCGUGAUAACCGUCACGACAUCUCGUUAGACAUUCAUUACUCGGAAUGUCAAUCGAAACCUCGCAAGGCUUAACAUCAAUUUUUCUCACUUCCCCUAUGAGUGUUAGUCACUAAAAUUAUGUUUUGAGGGAUUAUAAACUAUUUUCAAAUCAAAACAAUAGAAAAACAAUUUUUAACUCACAAGGGCAUUUUGGUCAUUUUUCCUUAAAAAUCUCGAAAUCCGCUAAAAAUGUAGUAUGCGAGUACAAAACACAUAAUUCAUAAUAAAAAAUAAGUUUAAACAUCUAAAACCUUCAUUUAAAAUGAAAUUAUGAUUAUUUGGAUAUAAUAAAAAAAAAGAAAUAUUCAAUAAAAUAUUUUAUUUUCUUAUAAAACAAUAUUUUUAGAGCUAUACAUAAAUAAUUUUUUUGUAGUAGCGUCAAAGUAAAAUAAAUUCAUACAUACUGUAAUACAAUAAGCCAGAGUAUUUAAUUGAAUUUACAAUAACCAAUGGGCCCCCGAGUAACUAAAAGUAAGGAAGAUUGUGAACCUACAGUUUGAAGGAUGCAAAUCCAAUGGUAGCCUCAAUAAAAUCAGCUAUCUACAGCCUAUUCUGAGCUUGAAAUGGGUGGAAAGGAGGGUGGUGAGAUUAUAUAAUCCCAGUGAGUAAACAAAUAUCAUCUAAAAUAUCUAAAGUCGAGCAAAUGGAGACAGAUAAAAUAGUUUAACAUAUUGUAAUUCAUCACCUUUCAACUUGUUUCAACCAAACAAAAUCAAUUCAUAUAAAUCGAGUAAUCAACAUGGCUUAUGAAUUUCUUAAAACUUUGGCUCGUGCCAAAAUCAUUCUCAUACUCAGUUAUCAGAGAUACCUUGAUCGAGGGCUAUCCUAACCGAGUCCGCCAGGGCUGUUAAAAAGUUAUGUAAGCAUAAAUCAUGUUUUUAUUUUGAAAACAUAGCCGUUCCUUGACGUUGGCUGAGUUCACCCUCACGUGGUGGUUUUCCGUGAAGUGAAACUCUAAAGUUAUACCUCGGGAGUUACCUUACUCGCCUCUCCAACCGAGGUAAAAUAUAACAGGAUUCUGUGCCCCUCUAAUAGCUUGGUCUAGAGAAAACCCGCCCACUGCAGCAAGCUAAACCCACCAUACAAUAAAUUUUGCAAUAGCAUGACAUGGCAAUUAUUUUAUUUUAUUUUAUAGCCUUUCAAGGCAAAUCAACAAUUUAUACAUUUCCAACACAUUUAUCAAAUCAACCAUUCAUGCCAAUAUUGCCAUAAGCCAAUCAAUUAGAAUCAUGAAUUUACAACAAACAAAAACAGUCUCCAAUUACUCUAUUUUCAAACCAUCAUUCAAUUUUAAAACAAUUUUAUGAAAUCAUUUCAUUAAAUCACAUUUUGUUUAUAAAACCAAAAAAUUAAUCAUUUAAUUCAUUUUCCAUAAAAUUCACAAAAUUGAAUAAAACAUACUUUAGAUAAUUAAGAUGAUGAUAAGGUUACUCACUAUUUCAGAAGUCGAAUUCCAAGUACUCCGAUUCUUGAUCCUCGGGUACUAUCUCUUUACUUUUGCCAAAAUGCUCACCACCUAGACAUAAUGCACAAUAAGCCAUUUACUACAUUGUGCUAAAUUGUUAUAAAACCAAUUCAAGCUUAUACUAAUGUAUGAAAUGGGAUGCAAAUUGUUCAGAUUAUUGUCUAAACAUGGUGUUCUACACAAAUUCAAUUGUGCACCUAAAUUAAACGGUAUUGGCCUAAUUCGAUCUAUCACUCGAUUAAUUGGCCAUUAUGUCCAUUUCAACUCCAAAUAAUUUCAUUUUUCUCCCAAUACUCCAAAUCAUCAAACACAAAUUAAAUAACUUGAAAUAUGGCAAAAUCAUCCUCACAUUUUCUCUUGGAAAAUUUGGCCAUGGUGGGUGCAUCAACACUAUAAUUUUUCCUACUUGAUUCUCACACCAUAAAUCACUAAUUCCUAACCAAAUCAGUUGAAAUAAAAUCAAAAUCAUCAUCAAUAUUCUACAUGGAGAAUUCGGCCAAUGAUGGGUGAUGGGAGAACAUGAAUUUUUCUUGCUUGAUUUUUAUGCUACACAUCACCAAUCAACUAAAAACACUAAAAUACAUUGAAAUCUAACCAAAUCAAGCAUCAAAACCUCUCUCCUAGGGUUUGGUCAGCACACUAUCCUUCAUGAUAUCUUGUGAUUCAACCAUGAAAAAUUUAAAAUAAUGCAUGGGAAAGGUAAAUCACAAGUCAAAAUCAAGAAAUUUUACCUUUGAUUGCUUGAUUACUUGAAAUCCACUAAUUUUCUCUUGAAUUUUCACCCUAGGGUUCUUGUUCUUCCUUUUACUUCCUUUGUUCUUGCUUUGG
rnacentral:lncRNA from 1 species